GGGGUUGUGACUCAAUGGUAGAGUGCUUGCCUAGCAUGCAUGAGACAUAGGGUUCAAUCUCCAGUACCA
rnacentral:tRNA from 1 species